rnacentral:lncRNA from 1 species
CAGUGUGAUUAGAAGUUGAUGUAUGUAGAUCUGAGAUGCAUAUAUGUUUAGACUUUCAUGAGCUAUGUUGCAGUGUGUAACAUAAAGAAUCACAUAGUAUGAUUAGAAGUUGAUGUAUAUAGAUAUGAAAUAUGUAUAUAUCUAUAGAGUUUAAUGUUUAUCUGAUUAAGAUACAAGUACAUGUAUGUAUGAAGUUUUGAUUGUGUUCUUCUAUUUACAGAAUCAAGGAAAACAGUUUGAGAAAUUAUCCAUCGAUUCAAGAUUUGCAAAACAUUUGUCUGCAUAACCAUCUAUUGCGGAAGCUUCCGGUUCAAUAUGUCGUAUUUGACGUUCCGAUUGUCGACUUGAAACUGAUAUUGGUCCAGUUUAGUGGUUGAAGAUUUAUCUUCAAUUAGCAAUAUCUCAAAAGACUUUUUAUAUCAGCAUCUUAUUCUGAACUGUUUCAUUUCCUUUGUUUCGAUGUUACUGCGAGCAACUAAUCCUAUAUCUGUGUUUGUCUUGUUUAUAGCCUAUUGAAUUAGAAAUUAAAUGCUUUAAAUUCGGACGAGCAGGGCGAGGGAGAAUUUAAAUGUAUUUUAUUUCGUUUGAAAUAGGGUUUUUCCCGUUUGCUAUUUGUAGUUAAUAUUUACAGAUGGGAACUAGUAUAACUAGUUCGGAUACUGGUUUUGUAACAGUAUGUACUAUUUAUAAGUUUGGUGUUAGGUGCAGGAGGCACGAGGAAAGUUUUGGCGGUUUUUAUGGGUGGGGUUUAAAGGUACUAUAUAAAGUUUGGGAUUUAAAUGUAUUAGUAUCGAAGGUGCUCGCAGUUACGUCGGAUUGAAGUUGGUCACAUAGGUAUAUGUGCAGUUGCUGCUAUGUUUAUUGUACGUACAGGCGUUGGAGGCAUUAGCCGGGGGGAAAAGAAACGAUGCGAAAGAGGAACAAUGUUAUAUGUCAUGAUCAUGUGUUUAUAUAAUGUUUCGAUUGAAGAAAUAUGUACAAUUCAGUAAAAUAAAAUAUUGUAUCGCAAGAGAAAAUAAGAUGUUACUGCGAGCAACUAAUCCUAUAUCUGUGUUUGUCUUGUUUAUAGCCUAUUGAAUUAGAAAUUAAAUGCUUUAAAUUCGGACGAGCAGGGCGAGGGAGAAUUUAAAUAUA